rnacentral:rRNA from 1 species
CUGGCGGCACGCCUAACACAUGCAAGUCGAACGCAGUAGCAAUACUGAGUGGCAAACGGGUGAGUAUAAUGUGGGAAUCUGCCUUUUGGUUUGGAAUAACACGGGGAAACUUGUGCUAAUACCGAAUAAGCCCUUACGGGGAAAGUUUUAACGCCGAAAGAUGAGCCUGCACUUGAUUAGCUAGUUGGUAAGGUAAAAGCUUACCAAGGCAACGAUCAAUAGCUGUUCUUAGAGGAAGACCAGCCACAUUGGGACUGAGACACGGCCCAGACUCCUACGGGAGGCAGCAGUGGGGAAUCUUGCACAAUGGGGGAAACCCUGAUGCAGCGAUGCCGCGUGAGUGAAGAAGGCCCUUGGGUUGUAAAACUCUUUCGUCGGGGAAGAAAAUGACUGUACCCGAAUAAGAAGGUCCGGC